CUGAACCAAGGUAGAAGCCUCGAUUCCACUACAUGAGGCAGAGAGCAGACAAUCGUAACAAAGAAAAUGCUCGCCUCAGACGUCACAGCUUUCAUAUAUCCUCUAUGACGGGAGCACAGAUUUGGGUGCAAACAUUCAGGGACCUAGAGCGAUGCAUUUCAGAGCUCCAUGCAUCAGUUUCUCUAUCUGCAAAAUGGACAGAAGAGCAGGAUUGAGGUCGCCAGCAGCCGCCAGGCGGGCAGAAGGAGGUGUCGCCCGCGCAGGAGGGAUGCAGGAAAAGAGUUGAAGCUAUGUGAACUUGGGCAUGUCCCCUCUCUAUCUGGGCUGGAUUUUCACAUAAAACAGGUCUGCGAGAGGGACAGGCCACUCCACUGGGGCCUUGGGAUGGCUCCCUACACAACCACCACUAAGCCAUGCUGCACUUUUGUGACAAUGAGGGUGGCACUUAGUGGCCCCUUCUUAGGGCCACCUCCCAUCAGCCAGGAGCAUUUGUGCUGUGUGGAAAUUGUACAGCUGUGUAAGACAGCCUUGUACCCAUGCCCAGGACUCUCCCUGUGUUCCUGGCCUCCUCCUGCUCUGGUCAGUCUGGACUCCUCUAUCGGACACAUGGGGCCAUCAUGAAUCUCCACAAGACGUUCGGACCUCCCACUGGCCACAGUGGGCCUUGGUCUAUAAUCCAGGCCUCAGUCUCCCCCUAUUCUCUUGGGCUGCGAAGUCUCUGCCAGCUCUAAGACCUUCCCUCCUCCAUUUCCACGCCUCUGAAUGUGAAGUCGCCAAGAAACAAAGAGAAAGACAAAGGGACAGGUUAGCCACCCCACAGCGCUCCCAAGUUUACUGAGGUGGCACCAAAGCAGGCACUUCCCCUUACCCCGAGCCCACUCUGUGCCAUAGCUAGCAAGCAGCUUCUGCCCUCUUGGACUCCUGCUUUGAGGCCCACAUGCCCAAUCCCAAGUCCCCAAGGAGGAGGCUCCUCACUACUGCCCUACCCCUUCACCAGGGUGCCAGGUCCAUACAAGCUGCUGCCCUCUGGCUGGACAGACAGGGAUGGACCACCUCCCCACUCCAAGCUGUAGCUCCUCUGCUUCCCCAGUGGCCCUUGGAAGCAACAGAGGUGCUGUACCCAUUUUCCAGGUAUGGGCACUGAGGCUCAGAGAGAAGUCACUUCUCGUCUUGUCACAGGGCAAGGGGCCAAGUCAGGGACCACUAGGAGAUGCUUUCUUUGCUUUAUUGGCCAUCUGGGAAAAGAGAAAGCAAGAAAGUGUAGAAUGCAGCUCUCAAACAAAGGGCUUUGUUUUGACAUUUGCAUCCUAACAACAGUCCUCAAAGGCAGAAGGGCCUUGAACAAUCAUGUUUCCAAGAUGUUCCAGGCCUGUCUAUGCAGUAGGCUUGCAUUGUGGCCCAAUAAUUGGUACAUGGUUUUGUUGUUUGUUUGUUUUGCAGUACCAGAGACUGGACGCAGGUCUUUUGCACUUAGCUCCCCGGUCUUUUUAUUUUGAGACAGGGUUUAGCUAAGAUGCUAAGUUGCCCAGGCUGGGCUAGAACUGGAGAUCCUCCUGCCUCAGUCUUGCAGAGUGCUGGAAUUACAGGCAUGUACCACCACACAUGGCUGCAAUUGGUGCUUUUUAACAAGGGAAGUUUGGUGGGGGACCCAGGUUAGAACUGCUCAGCUCCAUUUCACAAAUAAGAAAAAGGAUCAGAUAAAGGGACAGACCCACCUUCAGCAGUCACUAGGUCCUGUCUAAUUGAAGGUGUUCAAGAGCACCUGUGUUACUGCCUCUGAAACUCACAGAGCUCAAUUGCUUUCUCUGUACUCAGAAUAAUCCUACCCUAAUCCCUCAGAGCACUGUUGAAAUUAAAUACAACUGCAUACCGGAAGCCCUUAGCUCAGUGCCAAGCACAUAGCAAGGGCUCACCACCUGGGUGCUUUUAUAAUAGUUUUUCCAGCAGUAGUGUUAGUGUUUACCAUUCACUUUGAUUUCUCCAGGUGAUUAAGUGGCCAGACUCUGGCCCUGGACCUGACAGCCUCGGAUUUCAGCUUCCUGUGGGGACAUGAAAACCAAAAAAGUGGACAUGUUUGGUACCACUGUUCUGAAUUUUAAAAUCUUUUUUUUUUUUUUUUUUGAUACCGGGGAUCGAAUUCGAGUCCUUACACUUGCACAGCAGGCAGAAAAACCACUGAGAUGGUGGAACCUAGUUUCCUGAAGACUCUGGGUGCUGACUGGACUCACUGGGGCUGGAUUCCUGCCUGACUGUGCUUCUGUUAUUUCAUCUGAACAGCAGGAUAAGCUCCCGAGUGGUGCAGUGACAGAGGGCAACCCUCUGUGCUCAACUCUCACCUCCGUCUGUGCUUGCACCGGUCCUCUGUGCCCUGGAGGCUGAGCACCAAUGCUACCUCCUCCCAGAAGCCUGCCUGGAUUCUCCCCAUUCCCCAGCCAUUCUCUUCCGUGCACCCUCAGCACUUGUCAUCUGUCAUAAGUCAUCCUCCUGAUGUACAUGAGAAUCCCUCCAUUUCCACAGACUCUGACUUCACCUGCCUCACUCCAAGGCCUCACCAAACAAGUCUGGCCCAGUAUUGUGUAGAAGUGGUUUGAUCUCACUGGUUCACCUUCUAGGUAACCUGCCCCAAUGUGCAGCCUGCUCGGGUAUCUAAGCCACAUUACAGCUUUAAAUGGCUUUGUUAUUUAGGAAAUAGAUACCAAUGUGUUUCAUCAGUCUUGUGCUUCUAUUCUCUGUACAUUUUAACCUCUCUGAAAUGGGGCUAUAUGUUCUGAUGAAUGGGCAGUGGGUAUUCUUUCUUAAUGAUGUGUGAAAUGACACUGCCUUCCAUCAGUGCUACCUUAGAUCUGGUGAAGAAAGGUAUAAUCCCAUUUGAUUGCUGAGAAAGUUUAGGAGCAUGAGUUUGAGCCACUUCCCAAGGCACAUGGCCAGCAUGUGAAAGAACAAAGCUUUAAACUCAGGCAGUGAGGUGGGAUUUGGAAGCCCAGGUCUUUGUGCCAGGCACUCUCAGAGAUGUUCCCAGUGACCCCAGCCUGCUGGUGUUCACAUCUUUGUGUGACCCCCUCCCCUUGAGGCUAGGCUGCACCUAAUGACUGGCUGCUCCGAAGAAAUAGAAUACAGCAGAAAUGAUGGGCUGUCACUUCCGAGAUUAAGUCCCUGGGGAUUCUGGCUUCUGUCUUGUUUCCUCUCUCUGGCCUGCUCUCUUGCUCACUCUGAUUGAAGACAGCUGCCAUGCUGUAAACUACGCUUUGGAGAGGUUGAAGGAGCAACAGCCAACUCAGCCCAGUCCAGCAAGCUGAGGGUAGGGGAAUUCUGUUACGAAUGGCAAGGGUGAGCUUGGAAGCCCAUCCGCCUGCAGCAGGACCUGGAAAAGGCCUUUGUGGUAGCCUGGAGAGACUCUAAGCCAGAGUCCUGCUAAGCCAUGUCUGAUUCUGGUCCCACAGAAACUGAAAUAAUAAACGUGUACUUGCCUAA